AGGGAGCCAGCCAGCACUGGGAAUGUGGAUGCUGCACACAAGCACUGGGUGCUGUAGCUGUGGCUGAGUGUGGGACACAGGUCUAGACUCCUUUCGAUGCUUGUGUGCUACUCCCAGAAAUGC
rnacentral:miRNA from 12 species